UACAGAGGGUGCGAGCGUUAAUCGGAAUUACUGGGCGUAAAGGGCUCGUAGGCGGCCAACUAAGUCAGACGUGAAAUCCCUCAGCUUAACUGGGGAACUGCGUCUGAUACUGGAUGGCUUGGAUUCGGGAGAGGAAUGCGGAAUUCCAGGUGUAGCGGUGAAAUGCGUAGAUAUCUGGAGGAACACCGGUGGCGAAGGCGGCAUUCUGGACCGACACUGACGCUGAGGAGCGAAAGCCAGGGGAGCAAACGGG
rnacentral:rRNA from 1 species